GUAAUACCGAGAUAAUGUCCUUCGUGACCAAAGAUUCAUCGGCAUUGGAGCGGCCUAUCUCCUAUCAGCUUGUAGGUGAGGUAACGGCUCAGCAAGGCAACGACGGGUAGCUGGACUGAUAGGUUGGCCCGCCACAUCUGGACUGAGACACUGACCGGACCUCCACGGAGGGCUGCAGUAACGUGACUAUUGGGCAAUGGGCGAAAAGCCUGACCCAGCAAUGCCGCGUACAAGAUGAAGCCCCUAGGGGUGUCAACUGCUGUCAGGGGUCAGAAAGCUGGUUUCGGCCAGUUGAUCAACCCCAGAGGAAGUCACGGUUAACUUCUUGCCAGCAGCCGCGGUAAUACGACGGUGGCCAGCGUCAUUCGGAAUCAUCGGGCUUCAUGGGCACGCUGGCGGAACAGUGUGUGUUGUGUGAAAUCCCCCGGCUUAACCGGGGAAUUGCACAGCAAACUGCUGUUCUUGAUGCAGGUAGGGGUAGCAUGGAACUCUUGGUGGAGCUGGUGGAAUGCGUAGAUAUCAAGAGGAACGCCAGAGGUGAAGACGGUGCACUGGGCCUGUCCGUGACGCUGAGGUUGCGACAGCGUGGGGAUCGAACGGGAUUAGAUACCCCGGUAGUCCACGCCGUAGACGAUGUCUACUAGGUCGUGGGUGUUCUGACACAUUCACGGCCGGAGCAAAAGUGUUUAGUAGACCGCCUGGGGAGUACGGCCGCAAGGUUAAAACUCAAAUGAAUUGACGGGGGCUCACACAAGCGGUGGAGCAUGUGGAUUAAUUCGAAGCAACGCGCAGAACCUUACCUGGGUUUGACAUGAUUGUAUGCGUUCUCUGAAAGGAGUUAGACUGCUUUCGGGUGAAACUUGCACAGGUGCUGCAUGGCUGUUGUCAGCUUGUGUUGUGAGAUGUCAGGGUUAAGUCCUUUAACGAGCGAAACCCUUGCCGUUAGUUGCCAGCGAGUAAUGUCGGGGACUCUAACGGGACUGCCGGUGUUAAACCGGAGGAAGGUGGGGAUGACGUCAAGUCCUCAUGGCCUUUAUGCCCAGGGCUUCACACGUGCUACAAUGGCAAUUACAGAGCGACGCGAUACCGCGAGGUGGAGCAAAUCGCAUAAAAAUUGCCUCAGUUCGGAUUGCAGUCUGGCAAUUCGCCUGCAUGAAGUCGGAAUCGUUAGUAAUCGCGUAUCAGCAAUGACGCGGUGAAUGUGUUCCUGAGCAUUGUACACACCGCCCGUCAAGUGAUGGAAGCCGGGAGUACCCGAAGUCGGGUUGCUAACCUUUGGGAGGC
rnacentral:rRNA from 1 species